rnacentral:rRNA from 1 species
CCUACGGAGGCAGCAGUGGGGGAUUUUCCCUUUCUGGGAAGAAAGCCUGACGGAGCAAUACCGCGUGAGGGAGGAAGGCUCUUGGGUUGUAAACCUCUUUUCUCAGGGAAGAACAAAAUGACGGUACCUGAGGAAUAAGCAUCGGCUAACUCCGUGCCAGCAGCCGCGGUAAUACGGAGGAUGCAAGCGUUAUCCGGAAUUAUUGGGCGUAAAGCGUCCGCAGGUGGCAGUUCAAGUCUGCUGUCAAAGGUCAUGGCUCAACCCUGAACAGGCAGUGGAAACUGAACAGCUAGAGUGCGGUAGGGGCAGAGGGAAUUCCCAGUGUAGCGGUGAAAUGCGUUAUAGAUUGGGAAGAACACCGGUGGCGAAAGCGCUCUGCUAGGCCUGCACUGACACUCAGGUACGAAAGCUAGGGGAGCGAAUGGGGAUUAGAUACCCCUGUAGUUCUAGCUGUAAACGAUGGAUACUAGGCGUAGCUUGUAUCGACCCAAGCUGUGCCGUAGCUAACGCGUUAAGUAUCCCGCCUGGGGGAGUACGCGCGCAAGCGCGACACUAAUGAGGGUUGACGGA